rnacentral:rRNA from 1 species
AUUGAACGCUGGCGGCAUGCCUUACACAUGCAAGUCGAACGGCAGCAUAGGAGCUUGCUCCUGAUGGCGAGUGGCGAACGGGUGAGUAAUAUAUCGGAACGUGCCCUAGAGUGGGGGAUAACUAGUCGAAAGACUAGCUAAUACCGCAUACGAUCCACGGAUGAAAGUGGGGGAUCGCAAGACCUCAUGCUCCUGGAGCGGCCGAUAUCUGAUUAGCUAGUUGGUGGGGUAAAAGCCUACCAAGGCAACGAUCAGUAGCUGGUCUGAGAGGACGACCAGCCACACUGGGACUGAGACACGGCCCAGACUCCUACGGGAGGCAGCAGUGGGGAAUUUUGGACAAUGGGGGCAACCCUGAUCCAGCAAUGCCGCGUGAGUGAAGAAGGCCUUCGGGUUGUAAAGCUCUUUUGUCAGGGAAGAAACGGUAGUAGCGAAUAACUACUACUAAUGACGGUACCUGAAGAAUAAGCACCGGCUAACUACGUGCUAGCCGCCGCCGUAA